GCUUCCCCUGAGCGAACCUUUAGAACUCUGAGACAGACAAUAUUCUGUUACAUUGUAGCAAAAUGGCGACUGUCAUUCACAACCCCCUGAAAGCGCUCGGCGACCAGUUCUACAAAGAGGCUAUCGAGCACUGUCGGAGCUACAACUCGCGGUUGUGCGCCGAGCGCAGUGUCCGGCUGCCCUUCCUGGACUCGCAGACCGGGGUGGCCCAGAACAACUGCUACAUCUGGAUGGAGAAGCGGCACCGGGGCCCAGGCCUUGCUCCGGGCCAGCUGUACACAUACCCUGCACGCUGCUGGCGAAAGAAGAGAAGAUUGCACCCUCCUGAGGAUCCGAAGCUGCGGCUGCUGGAAAUAAAACCUGAAGUGGAGCUGCCCCUGAAGAAGGACGGGCUCACCUCAGAGAGCACCACGCUAGAAGCCUUGCUCCGAGGCGAGGGGGUUGAGAAGAAGGUGGACACCAGAGAGGAGGAGAGCAUCCAGGAGAUACAGAGAGUCUUGGAAAAUGAUGAAAAUGUAGAAGAAGGAAAUGAAGAAGAGGAUUUAGAAGAGGAUAUUCCCAAGCGAAAGAACAGGACCAGAGGACGGGCCCGUGGCUCUGCCGGUGGCAGGAGGAGGCAUGACCCCGCCUCUCAGGAAGACCACGACAAACCUUACGUCUGUGACAUCUGUGGCAAGCGCUACAAGAACCGACCAGGACUCAGCUACCACUACGCUCACACUCACCUGGCCAGCGAGGAGGGGGAUGAAGCUCAAGACCAGGAGACCCGGUCCCCACCCAACCACAGAAAUGAGAACCACAGACCCCAGAAAGGACCGGAUGGGACAGUCAUUCCUAACAACUACUGUGACUUCUGCUUGGGAGGCUCCAACCUGAACAAGAAGAGUGGGCGGCCUGAAGAGCUGGUGUCCUGUGCAGACUGUGGACGCUCUGCUCAUUUGGGAAGAGAAGGCAGGAAGGAGAAGGAGGCAGCGGCCGCAGCACGCACCACGGAGGACUUAUUCGGUUCCACAUCAGAAAGUGACACCUCAACUUUCCACGGCUUUGAUGAGGACGAUUUGGAAGAGCCUCACUCCUGCCGAGGACGCCGCAGUGGCCGGGGCUCGCCCACAGCAGACAAAAAGGGCAGUUGCUAAACCCAUGAAUGGACUCUCUGGGCAAUUAGCCAUCACCCUCUGACUUGGUCAUUGUUCUGGUUCUGACACAUUUUUUAAAAAAAUGAAAGACAACCUUAGAUUUUUCCCUUCAUCCUUGCUUUUUCCUCUGGCCUUCCACCCAUCCCUUCCCCCUUGCCCUUGAUUUUGAGUAUGUACAGCAGAAGCACAAACUACUGAAACAAAACAGAACAAAAGAGCAAACUAGUCCUUCAGAGAGAUGGCCUCGUGAUGUGCUGUUUAUUUUCCAGAGCGAUGAGAAGUUAGGCGAACUGUCUCUCGGGGGAGGGGAUCUUUUUGAUAUGAGCAGAGUUGAUUUCCUCAGUGUUCCUAUUUAUUGGCAAAAUGAGGAGAGGAGGAAUAUUGGGUUUGGAAACAAAGAACCAAUUACAUUAAAUAAAUUAUUAUUUAUAUAUUCUAACUAUUAUUAGAAACUGACUUUUUUUUUUGAGAGAGAGAGAAUGAAGGAAAAUCAAAGAAAUUGAAGUAAUACCCUGUUUAGAAGGAAGCCACUGGGGGAGGAUUGAUCCAAGGAGGCCCGGGCAGGAGGAGUUCCUCGGUGGGAGAUGAUUGCACUUUGUACCCCACGGACUGUCUGGCUCCCCUUGGCAGACCCCUCCCCAUUUCUCAUCCCUGACCUUUCCGGCUUCCUCCCUGCUUGCGAGAAAAUGUCAGCAGUUGCUGAGAAGUGCGGGCUGCUGUGUGCCUCCCUCCGGCACCUGGGUCCCCCCCAGCAGCGUCUGCUGGGCUCCUCUUCUCCAUCAGCGGAGCCGCUGUUUGGUGGUUGCUGGUUUUUCACUCACUUUCCUCCUGGUGAAGAGCGAUUUCCAAAUGCAGCAAUGGGACGCAAGCAGAAAGUCAUGGACUCAGCAACCCGAGCUGCGCUCCUGGAAGGAAGAACGCUACCUGAAGUACAUUUCCCUGCCCCCGCACCCCUCUUUACAAACUUAGAAAUUCCCGUUGGAUGAUCGAGUCCUCCCGUAUCCUAUUUUUUAUAGUGCCCUCCAGGCACUUUGUUUUAUGUUUCCAAUAGCAUCUCCUGAAAUAAACCAAAGCCACACUUGCUCAAGGCCCCUGGGGCGAUGGAGAAGACCACCCACCUUGUUGGCAGUCCCAAGAGUGAACAGCUGUGCGGGCCUAGUCAAAAGGGAGUUGUCCUGUGCUGUUGUUUUUUGUUUUAUCUUUCGUUGCCUUUCCCUCUGCAGUCAACUCUAUGACCUGCGGACCCCGGCGUCCUUCAAGCAAGCCGUUUCCGAAGAAGGUGAAAGAAGGCACGAUGAUUGCACCUCCUCCUCCUCCUCUUCCUCCUCCUCCUUCUCUUCCUCUUCCCUUGCCCGGCCCCCUCCUGUGCGUGUGUUUCAGCCAACACAGGAGCCUGGAUUUUUGUGGAAAAGCCUCCAGCUCAGCUCAGAGAAGUCUCAGGAAUGGCCUCUGUUUUUUGCAAUAAGAAGAUUUUUUUUUUUCUUUUUAAAAUUCUCCAUUACAUUUUCUUAAAAUGUCUGUGAGGAAGUACCCAGGUCAGACCGGAACUGCUCUACAAUAGAAAUAACUGAAAACAAACUGAUGAGGAAAAAAAAAAAGAGUUCACUAUUUUAUUUAUUUCAAUAUUUAAAAGAAAAAUGUGCUGAUGUGGCACAUUAUUUUUAUUUAAAAUACCUUCUACUUCGAAAGUGAAACGCGAUUUUGUGAAGAUAUGAAGUCAAAAGAGUACGUAAUGUAAAAUAAAGACUGCAUAUUAACUAAGGAAAACACCCCCCAUUUUAAAUAAGAAAAUAAAGAUCAACUCUGCUCUCUCAGGCUCUUUAAAAAGCCAUUCAUGUAUGUGCUUUAGGUAUUUUUAUUUCUGCCAGUUGGAUGUGGUAAGUGAGGAGUGAUCAGGUUUGUUUUUUUCCUUCUUCAAAAGUCUAUCGAAAGUGUUGGUGAUGUUCAAUGAGUGUUACGUCUUGACUGAAAUAAAUUAGCCACAAAGGCUAUCAGCAGUCCCUCUGCGCCCCCCCCCCCCCCAAAAAACCUCUCCCCUAACCCAGGCGAGCCCCAUUUAUCUGAAUGUCAAGAAGCAGCCUGCCUCCUGGUUAUCAUGUCUGACAAGGCCUGGUUCUGAAAGGAAUUCCACCUAGUGAUUAAAUAUAUCUCUGUGAGUUCAACAGAUUCAAACACAGACAGCUUUGUUUAAAAUAAUGCAGUGAAGGAAGAGGAAAAAAAAGACAAACUGAGCAUCAGCCGAGAUGAUACUAAUUUGGUCUCCUAACAACUAGAGGAAGCUUGCAAAGGGAACUCUGCUGAACCGGCUUCAGGGACGAGAUGCUGGUGUCCCGAGGGCAAGAAAGGCCAACCUGAGGGAGGGGAACCUCAGAGUCAGUUGCCGGUGGGGGUAAAGGAGAAAGGCGGGUGUUCUGCCGUGUCCUUUUAUGGCCAUGUGAGUGGAAGGGAAUGUGAUGGCCCCUGAAAUGUAACUCAGCAGGCCUAAUGGAGGAGCGGGUUGCCCGGCUGGGGCGCUGGGUUUUACUCCAGGCCUUUUACAUGGCCACGCUCUUGGGUUUCACUCACUUCUAGCAGAGUCUUAUUAAAUGUAGUCUCAUGCCUGAUAGUCUUGUCAGCAAAAGCCCUCGAGUGACGGUGCUACUGAAGCGGUUUUAAGCCGGAGAAUGUCUCUUUUGCCUUUGAAAGGGGAGACUGGCUGGGCGCCCCAGUCCCGCCAGCCCUUUCCGAUUUCUCAUUCAGGGCCAGUCCUCAGGGGGAGAUCACCAAGAGUGUCUUUGUAUCAUUUGUAGCCCUUUGCUCUGACAUUUUCUGGUAGAAAAUGUCCCCUUUAAAAAUGCUAAUGAUUAUAAUAAUAAUUCACUCUCCAACCAACUCCCACAAGUUAUAACAUGUGUAGAAUUGUGAUAAAGCUUUGCAUAAUGUAGGGUUUGUAUCAAGUGUGUGUAAGUUUCUGUUAAAUAAAAGUCUAUUUCCAAUGCUC